rnacentral:ncRNA from 1 species
AUAAAGUUUGAUUCUUGCUUUUAGCUUAAUUAUAUCAAUAAUUUACAUGUAAAUUUUUGUGUGUAUUAAUUUUUCUAAAUGAUAUUAUUUUAUUCGCAGUAUUUAAUUCUAUUAAUUUACUUUUGUUUGAUAUUGUUAAUUGAUUAAUUAAAUGACUAAUUUUGUGCCAGCAUUCGCGGUUAAACAAUUAUUUGUUGUUAAGUUUUUAUCUUUUAGUAUUUAUUUAUUUAUUUUGAUUAUUUUUUGUUAUUUAAUUGGGUGAAAUCAUUUAUUAAUAUUUUUUCUUUAUUAAUAUAUUUGUCUAAGAAAUUUUUUUUAUAAACUAGGAUUAGAUACCCUAUUAUUGAAAAUGUAAAUUUUUUAGGUUGAUUAUUAUUAGUUAUGAUCUUUAAAUUCAAAGAAUUUGGCGGUAAUUAAGUCUUUUUAGAGGAAUCUGUUUCUUAAUUGAUAAUCCACGAUUGAUUGUACUUUAAUUUUACUUGUAUAUCUCUGUCAUUGAAUGUAUUAUUAGGUAAUUAUUUUCUUAGUUCUUUUGUAGGAUAAAUGUCAGGUCAAGGUGCAGUUUAUAUUUAAGUGAACAUGGAUUACAUUAUUUAUAUUUUGGAUUUUAAUUUGUAAUUAUUUUUUUGAAAUUGGAUUUAAUAGUAAUUUUAAAUAGUAAUUUUAUUUUGAUUUUAGCUCUUAAUUAUGCACAUAUCGCCCGUCGCUCUCACUAAUUUGAGAUAAGUCGUAACAAAGUAAUUUUAUCGGAAGGUGAAGUUAGAAAGGU